AGUGAACGCUGGCGGUAGGCCUAACACAUGCAAGUCGAACGGCAGCACAGUAAGAGCUUGCUCUUACGGGUGGCGAGUGGCGGACGGGUGAGGAAUACAUCGGAAUCUACUUUUUCGUGGGUGAUAACGUAGGGCCACUUACGCUAAUACCGCAUACGACCUACGGCUUAAAUCAGGGGAUCUUCGGACCUUGCGCGAUUGUAUGAGCCGAUGUCGGAUUAGCUAGUUGGCGGGGUAAAGGCCCACCAAGGCGACGAUCCGUAGCUGGUCUGAGAGGAUGAUCAGCCACACUGGAACUGAGACACGGUCCAGACUCCUACGGGAGGCAGCAGUGGGGAAUAUUGGACAAUGGGCGCAAGCCUGAUCCAGCCAUACCGCGUGGGUGAAGAAGGCCUUCGGGUUGUAAAGCCCUUUUGUUGGGAAAGAAAAGCAGUAGGUGAAUACCCCGCUGUUCUGACGGUACCCAAAGAAUAAGCACCGGCUAACUUCGUG
rnacentral:rRNA from 1 species